rnacentral:rRNA from 1 species
UACGAAGGGGGCUAGCGUUGCUCGGAAUCACUGGGCGUAAAGCGCACGUAGGCGGGUCCUUAAGUCGGGGGUGAAAUCCCGGAGCUCAACUCCGGAACUGCCUUCGAUACUGAAGAUCUUGAGUUCGGGAGAGGUGAGUGGAACUGCGAGUGUAGAGGUGAAAUUCGUAGAUAUUCGCAAGAACACCAGUGGCGAAGGCGGCUCACUGGCCCGAUACUGACGCUGAGGCACGAAAGCGUGGGGAGCAAACAGG